rnacentral:sRNA from 1 species
AAACUACAAGGGGAGCCGAAGCUCCCCCAGAAGUAGUUGCGUGCUCUAUUUUUAUUAUUGAUGUCGGGCUUCUUGUUUUUGUUGAUCGCCCUCGCCAUAAAGCUUCACCUUCAUGACACUCCCAAUCGGGAGUCAAGAGCAAACGGAUUGCUUUGGUCGCUGUGUUGCUGAUCUACGAUCCAACCAGUUCAGGCUCUGCCUUAGGGCAGUU